rnacentral:pre_miRNA from 14 species
AUCUUAAGAUGGGAACUGAAAGACCCCCGGAGUGGGGAGACCCUCACUCAAGUCUCGGGAUGACGCGACCCCCCAAGAAAUCACACAAGACC